rnacentral:lncRNA from 1 species
AGGGGUCGUGAGCGAGAAAUGAAUCAGGCAUCGGUCGUUCUAGCGGUAAGAGUCCUUCGGAUGUUGAAUGGUCUGGUCAACUCGUUCCGUUCCUGUGUAGAAAGGAAGUAACCCGUGGGUAUCUUCUAUUGAUUAACGAACUGGGAAUCAUAGCUCGCUCUUCCUUUGCUUUGGAUCUUCGGUAACCACCCUUCUUCACAGAAAAAGAGAGCUCAGAAGACCUCGUCUAUUACGACGGUACGGAAAAAUCAAUG